UUAAUAUCUAUCGUACUCGUGCAAAUGUUACGUGUCAGGUACUUCCUGAAGGACAAUCUCAGCUUAUGUAACACGUAUAAGCGAUUAGGUAUGACGCGCUUGAUAUGCGAUCUUCAUGUACGUAUAUGAUAAUGUAACGUAAACCAUCAGCAAUAUAUGGAAUCGCGUAGAUCCAGAAGAUAAUCUGGCAUCCCAGCCGUUAAAUAUACGCCUACGACUUCUUAUGUUAUACCGCAAACGGAGAAGGAUUUUCUCCCUGGCCGGUGCGAGACUCGUUUGCGAAGAUUACGCGGAGCAGGCGACAAACAGUCGUUGAGCCGGUUCGGAAGACCGGGCUUGUGACAGUGUCUCGCAGGUCCCAGGCACUCUAGGAUUGAGGAGGAAUGCGACCUUGACGUCGCAAGUUUAAAGGAUGUUUAUGUGGGGACGAUUAGACUGCCGAUGUAUCUACUCCUCAAUUCCUUACUAUGCGCGUUAUACACGGCUGUAACCUUUGUUCGACCCUGUAUAUCCUCCAGAAUCCUGACUCGGUUGUAUCCUUGAGGACGAGAAAGAGCAGCUGUACCUUCUACGACGAACGAUUCGCCACACACGCUGACGUCAUCGAGGAACGCGUCACGUCGCCGUCGGUCCCUUUAUUGGCCUUAUUGUGGAGUCGACGAGAAAGAGGGAAGAAAAUAAUAAGGAGCCACGUAGGGGGAGACAAAGGUGGCGAGAUUCUCGAGGGACCGGUCCUACUGCAGGUUCGCGUCGAAGAACAUCCCUCCUGUACUCCCGCUGCCUGUGCCACGGACAUAUAUUUGGGAAGAAACUCUCUCGAGCGAGUGAGCGAGCGAGCUACGGACGGACUUGCUGACGAUGAGCCUACAAAGGAGAGUUAGUCGGACAGAGAGUCAAGAACCGCCGGACAAAGAUGCCCCUCGCUAUGCCACCUCGUCCUGCGCCUACGAAGAGACGUCGUUCCGAAAUUUCACUUUCACUUUGGUCAAGUCACUUGCAGGCUCGGCUUCGAAGCCAUCCCACGAGAGCUGAGAAAACAAAUACGGUUUACGUGGGGGACCGAGUCGAUAAAACGAAAAAGAAGACAAAAGUAGUCGGAACGUCGAAGAAGAUUCGGAGAAACGGAUUUCUGCGAUCACAAACGCGUAUCAGGCUGAACUGUGAAAUUUUUCAUCUACGGAACCGUAUAAAGUGCUACCAGGGAUCCCGUAACAGCGUCAACGCUAAUCACCGAGUUACUUCGGGCGCGACGAAACCCAGGAGGUGCAGUUGUAAGGCGGACCGCUAGGCCUGAGCUCUCGCGUAAUCGCGUAAUCGUAUAAUCGAACCGCAUGACGAACUAACAAGCGACAGCCGUGGAGCGGGCGGAGGACGAGCAGUUAUGCAAGGUAGUGGGCAAGGGUAAAAAGUUGCGGAUAUCACACAGCGUCGAACACGUAGAUGCUGACCAGCCAAGCUCUAAUAAACACCGAACGGAGAAAUUGAAGGAAAAAAUGAAGACGCGGAGAGCUGGACCUGAGAAGAGCCGCAGGAUUCGCGAUGAAGAGAGGAAGAGAUGGAAAGGGACGAGGUGUGCAGGCGGAGAGGUCAGUAACCCCGCAGCGUUGACCGCACGGACUAAACUGCGCCCAUCACCCGAGGAAAUCCGAGUUGAAACGGAGGGACGUUAAGGCGCGGAUUGUCGGUGCAGUUUAAGAUCGAUGACCGAUGACUGUGCAAGCAAGGGAUAAGAAAUUUGCUUCCUUCUUCUUCCUCUUUUCAUCUUUAUCCCGCGAACUUUGCCGCCAUAGAAAUAUUACAUGUAUUAUAAUACGUACUAUGCUGUCGUUAAGUUACGUAUACCUGAUACGUACAUGAUCACGUGGUAAUAAAACGGUAGUUCCAUAUAA